rnacentral:tRNA from 1 species
GGGAGCGAAUGGGGCCUGGUGGUCUCCCCGGUCUUCAAAACCGCGUGUGGGGCGGUGACCCCGUCCUGGGUGGGUUCGAUUCCUACACGCUCCCGCCA